rnacentral:rRNA from 1 species
GACGGAGGGGGCAAGCGUUGUUCGGAAUUAUUGGGCGUAAAGGGCUCGUAGGCGGUUUGUCGCGUCUGCUGUGAAAACCUAAGGCUCAACCUUGGGCUUGCAGUGGGUACGGGCAGACUAGAGUGCGGUAGGGGUGACUGGAAUUCCUGGUGUAGCGGUGGAAUGCGCAGAUAUCAGGAGGAACACCGAUGGCGAAGGCAGGUCACUGGGCCGCAACUGACGCUGAGGAGCGAAAGCAUGGGGAGCGAACAGG